AGGAUUUUUGAAUUUUUAAAAUUUUAAUUAACUACCUUAAAACUGAUAUAUAAAGAAUUGCUGAAAUAGCGUCCUUAUUAACCGAUUUUUGUUUCUGUCUAGGAAAUAUCAUGUUUGAAUUUUUGAAGGUUGUAACCGUAGCGGUUGUAUUUGCUUCUUUUUUAAUUAUGACUGCACAAGCAGAAGAAACUAAAGGAAAUUCUAGUCCUAACUGCAUUGGAAUGUACUGUUUUUAAUUUGAAUAAUAACGUAUUAAAAAAAGAUUAUUCUUGUUUACA